rnacentral:rRNA from 1 species
GCAGUGGGGAAUCUUGGACAAUGGGGGCAACCCUGAUCCAGCCAUGCCGCGUGAGUGAAGAAGGCCCUAGGGUCGUAAAACUCUUUCGCCUGUGAUGAUAAUGACAGUAGCAGGUAAAGAAACCCCGGCUAACUCCGUGCCAGCAGCCGCGGUAAUACGGAGGGGGUUAGCGUUGUUCGGAAUUACUGGGCGUAAAGCGCACGUAGGCGGAUUAGAAAGUUAGAGGUGAAAUCCCGGGGCUCAACCCCGGAACUGCCUUUAAAACUACUAGUCUAGAGUUCGAGAGAGGUGAGUGGAAUUCCGAGUGUAGAGGUGAAAUUCGUAGAUAUUCGGAGGAACACCAGUGGCGAAGGCGGCUCACUGGCUCGAUACUGACGCUGAGGUGCGAAAGUGUGGGGAGCAAACAGGAUUAGAUACCCUGGUAGUCCACACCGUAAACGAUGAAUGCCAGUCGUCGGGUAGUAUACUAUUCGGUGACACACCUAACGGAUUAAGCAGACCGCCUGGGAAGUACGGUCGCAAGAUUAAAACUCAAAGGAAUUGACGGGGGCCCGCACAAGCGGUGGAGCAUGUGGUUUAAUUCGAAGC